AACCAUAAGUAAGCUUUUAUGGCGCUUUCUGCUCAAUGGGAUUUUAAAUAGCUGCAGUACUUUGACUGUGCAAAGGUAGCAUAAUAAUUUGGCUUUUAAUUGGGGUCUGGUAUGAAUGAAAAAAAUGGGAAAAUACUGUGUCAGUUAAUAAUUUUUAACUUAAUUAUAAGGUGAAAAUGCCUUUAGAUAAAUAAUAGACGAGAAGACCCUUGAAAUUUGUAUUAUCAUUUUGUUGGGGCGACAUAAUAGCAAAUAACCUAUUUUAAAAUAUUUGGCUUUUAUUUAAGGAAAAAGUAAAUUACUCAAGGGAUAACAGCAUAAUUAUUUCAUAGUUUGUGACCUCGAUGUUGGAUUAGGGAAAUUUAACCUAGAAGGUGAAGAUUUGUGCUCUGUUCGAGCAAUUACCCCU
rnacentral:rRNA from 1 species